CAACAGAGAGAAGCAAUACCGCGAGGUGGAGCAAAACUUCAAAAAUAGGUCUCAGUUCGGACUGUAGGCUGCAACUCGCCUACACGAAGUUGGAAUUGCUAGUAAUCGUGGAUCAGCAUGCCACGGUGAAUACGUUCCCGGGUCUUGUACACACCGCCCGUCACACCAUGGGAGCUGGUAACACCCGAAGUCAGUAGUCUAACCGCAAGGAGGACGCUGCCGAAGGUGGGAUUAGCGACUGGGGUGAAGUCGUAACAAGGUACC
rnacentral:rRNA from 1 species